rnacentral:lncRNA from 1 species
CGGAUAUCUGAUAGCUAAGAACUUCCUGAUAACAGAAAAAUUUGCUUCUUGCUCACCUAUGGACACAUUUCAGAUGCUCAGGAGCCAAGUGUGUAGAGGACAGCACAGAGAGAGGAUAAUUUCGUCAUCUCAGGAAAUUCAAUUUUACAGCAUGUCAGAAGACUUUGGGAUCUUUCAUAAAGUAAAAGAUCUUUUAUAAAGGAUCUGGGCUUCUUGGUGGGUAGAAGGGGUCAGAGAAGUGCCACUCAGGGAAGAAAACGAGGAGCCCUUUUCAGAAACAGAGACAGAAACAAUAAUGAAUAGGAUCCUAUAAUUUCAGGCAUCUAAUCUGCCUCUAAUAUGUGGCAGUGCACCCGGAGGGAGAGGAAUUUCAGAUACAUGGUGGCAUGGUGUACCCAGGAGAGUUGAUUCUCUAAUACUGACCUCUAUAAUACUGACCACUUGGGUUUGGACAAUAAGGAUGUCAUCAGACACUCUCUUGGACUGGAGGGUCAAGAAACUUCUCCCAUUUUUCUGAACACCAUAUGAGCCUCUUGGAUUCUGGUUGAGUCCUGGCUGAGGAGGUUGUUAAUAAUGAGUGGAAUUCAUUUCCUGGCAAUCCAAUGGACUGAUACUGAGCUUUGGAUUUUAUUAGCUGUAAAGGAGGAAAAAGAAACAAGAAUUUUCGGGACUGUGAAU